AUGCCGCCGCGUUACGACGGCGCGGCAGACACGACUCCGUUCCUGCUGGCGUAUGAGGAGGCUGUCCUCGAAGUCGGAGGCAACGACAAGAUCAUGGCCAACUGGUUCCCCAUGGCCCUUGCCGGCGAGCCGCGCGCCUGGCUGCUCAACCUCCCGGGAUCCACGGUGGACUCCUGGGGGGAACUCCGCGACCUCUUCACUGCUCGCUACGCGGUGCCGGCGCACCACGCAGUCGCGACCCUGCUGGGCGGCUCUCAAGCACCACCUUCAGACCGCCACGUCAAGCCUUUCCUCCGUCAGAUCGGGGCCACCUCCAAGCGCCCGGGGGCUCCGCCGGGUUGGGCUGCGCCAGAGGCCAACCUCACCUUCGGCUCAGAAGACCACCCCGACUCCACCGCCGGCUCCGGAAUGCUCCCAAUGCUCUACACGCCCACCAUCUGCAACGUGGCCGUUACCAAGACCCUCAUCGACGGCGGUGCCGGCCUCAACUUGCUCUCCGUAGAAGCCUUCAGCCUUCUUCACGUGCCGCUCGAGCGGCUCAGCCUCAGCAAGCCCUUCUCGGGAGUGGGUGGUGGAGCUGCCCACUCUCUGGGGCAGAUCCGCCUCCCUGUCACCUUCGACACACGCGACAACUACCGCACCGAGCUGGUGGACUUCGACAUCGUCCGCAUCGGUCUCCCGUACAAUGCCAUCCUCGGUACCUGGCUCACGCUCAGUUCAUGGAGGGGACUCACCUGGCCUACAACCUCAUGA
rnacentral:rRNA from 1 species